rnacentral:rRNA from 1 species
GACGAACGCUGGCGGCGUGCUUAACACAUGCAAGUCGAACGGAAAGGCCCUGCUUUUGUGGGGUGCUCGAGUGGCGAACGGGUGAGUAACACGUGAGUAACCUGCCCUUGACUUUGGGAUAACUUCAGGAAACUGGGGCUAAUACCGGAUAGUAGCUCCUGCUGCAUGGUGGGGGUUGGAAAGUUUCGGCGGUUGGGGAUGGACUGGCGGUUUAUCAGCUUGUUGGUGGGGUGGUGGCUUACCAAGGCUUUGACGGGUAGCCGGCGUGAGAGGGUGGGCGGGCACACGGGGAGUGAGAUACGGGACAGACUCAUGCGGGAGGCAGCAGUGGGGGGUAUGGCACAAUGGGCGGAAGCCUGAUGCAGCGACGGCGCGUGAGGGAUGGAGGCCUUCGGGGGGUGAACCGCGUUCGCCGGUGAAGAAGGUCCGGCGCUUUGGGGUGGGGUGGACGGUAGCCGGGUUAUGAAGCGCCGGCUAACUACGUG